UACGGAGGGUGCAAGCGUUGUUCGGAAUUACUGGGCGUAAAGGGCGCGUAGGCGGCGCUGUCAGUCAGAUGUGAAAGUCCAUGGCUUAACCGUGGAAGUGCAUCUGAUACUGCAGUGCUUGAGUAUCGGAGGGGAAAGUAGAAUUCCCGGUGUAGAGGUGAAAUUCGUAGAUAUCGGGAGGAAUACCGGUGGCGAAGGCGACUUUCUGGACGAAUACUGACGCUGAUGCGCGAAAGCGUGGGGAG
rnacentral:rRNA from 1 species